CUGAGCUAACCCGCAAGGGAGGCAGGUGCCGAAGGUAUGGCUGGUGAUUGGGAUGAAGUCGUAACAAGGUAGCCGUAGGGGAACCUGCGGCUGGAUCACCUCCUUU
rnacentral:rRNA from 1 species